GUGGAUUAGAUACCCUGGUAGUCCACGCCCUAAACGAUGCUCACUAGGUGUUGGGGAAGCGAUUCCUUGGUACCGUAGCUAACGCGUGAAGUGAGCCGCCUGGGGAGUACGGCCGCAAGGUUAAAACUCAAAGGAAUUGACGGGGACCCGCACAAGCGGUGGAUGAUGUGGAUUAAUUCGAUGCAACGCGAACAACCUUACCUACCCUUGACAUGUCUGGAAGUCUGCUGAGAGGCGGAUGUGCUCGAAAGAGAACCGGAACACAGGUGCUGCAUGGCCGGCGUCAGCU
rnacentral:rRNA from 1 species